CAGGAUGCACCCCUCUGAAGUGUGGUCGGGCCGUCACAGACAGCAUUGUGACCCGGGAGGAGGCUGAGACGCUCAAGAGGCUGGCUGAGAGAGGGCUGGCUCUCGCUGGAUCAGAGGGAGGGGCCUCCAUACUGGACUUGCACUCUGGAGCUCUGUCGAUGGGCAAACAGUUUGUGAACAUCUACAGGUGGGAAACACAU